rnacentral:misc_RNA from 1 species
GUGAAUUGUAUGCGGUGACAUUCGUGUCCCGCCAAUCUUUCCACACGAUCUUCACACUUGUGCACACACAACACAUUUUUACACACUAUUCUUAUGAAUGGAAGUACACAAAAACAAACAUAACAAAAAA